GAGGACGUGCUUUCACAAGGACUAAUUCAGCUGACGUUUCAUAGUGAUUUUGGUUAAGGGUUCCUCUACGUCGGGCCGACGACUUUAAAACUAGCGCUUGGUGGGAGGCAACCCACUGUUGGUUUGUUUUUGUUUUUAUUUUUCUUGUUUUGUGCUUUUCGUUUUUUAUAUUUUCCUUGACUUUGGUUGCUUGUGCGGAUGCUUUGAUUCUGUGUGUUAAUGUUUUGUUUCCAGUGCUGCAAUUCUACUCUGACUUUGCCGCCAGCGCUGAAGAAUGCCA
rnacentral:lncRNA from 1 species